CUAAUAUAGAUCUGAAUUCUGUUUGUUUCCCACAUUAUGAGAAAGUUAUGAGAGGUGAAUAAGUUGAGCACAAUUUAACGUAUGUAAAUGUUUAAGAUGAAGAAAGCCAGUACAAUAAAUCCUACGGCCAGCAAGGAGCCACAAUAACUGUGUAAUAAAGUGAGAGGCGGCUGAAGAAGAAGCAUUUAGCAACAGCCUGUCUGCAACAGAGUUAAUACUUCAUGCUUGAUUCUCUUGUUUUUUAUUUUUUGUGCACAUACAGAAUCUUUUAACCAUGUAAUAUUACUCUAUGCUUUGAAGAUUUGCUCAUUUUUAUAUUGGACACCUCCACUGACACAAACAUAAUAAAAACAUCAGUCAUUUUUAAGCUGAUCAUCAGGUAUUUAUGAAGGUAGUAAGGUUCAGAGAUGUUUGAAACACCUUCUUUAAUUUGUGCUGAAUCUAGUACAAGAUCUUUUUUUGGGCAAUAUUUCCUUUUAUCUGGGUCUGAUGGUGUAGCUACACUAAACUAUGUUACAGUGCAGUAAUGACUCAAAUAUUCUUCUCUGUCUUUAGUGUCCCACAAAAGGUUCUUUGUCAUCUUGGCGGGAAAAACUGAUGAUGCUCAUCUAGAGUUUGUGGCAAAGCUUGAAAGCAUUGGUCAUACUGAGGUGAACUCUCCAGAAGAAAGUGACUACCUUCUGGUUUUCUGUCCUUCAAGAGUUGGAACGGACAUCAGCGAGGCCCUGGAGAAACUUCCAGGUGGUAAACCAGCAAUUCUGGUUGUGAUGCAUCACACCUUCAACCCUAAAAAAGUUCUACCUGAAAGCAGAAGACUGGUGAACAACCCCAAUGUUGAGGUUACUGUGGACUGUCUGUUCUAUGAGGGCAAACUCCUGAAGUCCAACCGAAAUGAUAUUGCAUGGAUUGAUGUCCAGAAGUAUCUUGGAGUUUCCAAGGUAAUGACUAAAUUUACUGAUCUAAUACUAUCACACAAUCCCUGGGGAGUGCACUGAUAUUGUGAUAUUAAGGGAUAAGGGAUCAUUACUGU
rnacentral:lncRNA from 1 species